AGUGAACGCUGGCGGUAGGCCUAACACAUGCAAGUCGAACGGCAGCACAGUAAGAGCUUGCUCUUACGGGUGGCGAGUGGCGGACGGGUGAGGAAUACAUCGGAAUCUACUUUUUCGUGGGGGAUAACGUAGGGAACCUUACGCUAAUACCGCAUACGACCUACGGGUGAAAGCAGGGGAUCUUCGGACCUUGCGCGAUUGAAUGAGCCGAUGUCGGAUUAGCUAGUUGGCGGGGUAAAGGCCCACCAAGGCGACGAUCCGUAGCUGGUCUGAGAGGAUGAUCAGCCACACUGGAACUGAGACACGGUCCAGACUCCUACGGGAGGCAGCAGUGGGGAAUAUUGGACAAUGGGCGCAAGCCUGAUCCAGCCAUACCGCGUGAGUGAGGAGGGCCUUCGGGUUGUAGAGCCCUUUUGUUGGGAAAGAAAAGCAGCAGGUUAAUACCCCGCUGUUCUGACGGUACCCAAAGAAUAAGCACCGGCUAACUUCGUG
rnacentral:rRNA from 1 species